UAAGCACUGUAGAUCGGGAAGGGCUGGAUGCUGGAGACAAGCCGCUGCUGCACAGGAUUAGCGUGUCAGUGAAAGUUUCCUCUUUAUCUCCCUUAUGGUACACGCUGGAAUUUCAAAGCCUUCCCCCCCCUGCUGUGGCUGGAACUGAUUAACUCCAGCAGGCGUCUAAACCGGGCUGCAGCUGAAUGGGGCAACAGCACAGGCCUGGGGAGCGCUUUCCUUCCUAUCUCCCUUUGGAGAGCCAGGCGUGACCACCAGCUUAAUUUAAACGGCUUUUCAGUAAGAGGAUGGCUGACGGAGCAAACAGAGGCAAAGGAAGAAAUCUUUUGGUUAAAAUACCAGUAAUUCAGAAAGCAACAGUCAGGCAGCAGGUGCAGCUCUCAGCUGCCAAAAGCAGCAGGUUGGGUUCAGCUGGGAGACAGCCUGAAGGAAGAGGUGAGGAAGAUGCUGAAAGCUUCUUACAGGCUCACUUAACGUCACUGCUUGUCUAAGCAACUACAGCAGAAAAGGCACGAAGAACCUGAAGCUGCUGAGCUUCUCAGGAGCUCCGUCGGCAGGAAGCCUGGCCAAAGCUGCGGGAACCCAACUGCCGGAGUCACAUUGGAACGCCUCCUUCAGGGGAGGGAGUGGCCGAUAGCUGUGGAGAUCUGGAACUCCUCGAGAACCCAGACCCCAAUCCCAAACGGUGCUCAGACUGGCGAAUGGAGACACAGCGUAGUAAAAGGAUGUCACGUUUUCAGCACGGGUGUAGAGCUGUUUCCUCGAGCGGCGUGCAAAGGAAAGCGUGUUCGAGCCCCCUCUCAGCAAAGCCCAGAGCACCGCCAGCGUCGGCGAAACCCCACACAUAUCAGCUGCCGCUCCAGAGCCGGUGGUGACCCCAGGAGGGCACGCGUGGGGCGCCCGCCGAGAGCCCUGCGGGAAAGGCAAGGCCCGGGGAACCCGAGGUGGGGGCCGCCGUCAGGAACCUGCGGCAACGCCGGGCUGCUGGGGGGAGAUGAGCGCUACCGAUGAGCCGCUUUCCC
rnacentral:lncRNA from 1 species